UGGGGAUUAGGGGAGAGAGGCAGCCUUGCUGGAGCUGUGUGGUCUUCCCCAAGUGUGAGCUGCGAGCUAAAGAAGAACUACCUAGCUUGGGGGAGAAGAGGGAGCAAUCAUUUUCAGCAGCUCAGAGGGAAAAAUAAAACCCCACACUUUGUUCAGAUCUUCACACUAACUCUCACAUACCUGUGGUGUUUAUGAAUUAUUGGCCUCCUACUUGUGAAAGAAAUCUAACACUGUCCUCACCAUUUACAG